CCUUAUAGCUAGUUUACCUUGUCUAAUCUCAAGAGCUAAGCAGGUCAGGCUGGGUUGAUAUGUGGAUGGGAGACUAUCAGGAAAUCCCAGAGCUUAUGGC
rnacentral:rRNA from 1 species